GCGAACCUGCGGAAGGAUCAUUG
rnacentral:rRNA from 1 species